CGUACACUCCUACGGGAGGCAGCAGUGAGGAAUAUUGGACAAUGGGUGGAAGCCUGAUCCAGCCAUCCCGCGUGCAGGAAGACGGCCCUAUGGGUUGUAAACUGCUUUUAUCUGGGGAUAAACCUACUUACGUGUAAGUAGCUGAAGGUACCAGAAGAAUAAGCACCGGCUAACUCCGUGCCAGCAGCCGCGGUAAUACGGAGGGUGCAAGCGUUAUCCGGAUUUAUUGGGUUUAAAGGGUCCGUAGGCGGACUGAUAAGUCAGUGGUGAAAUCCGACAGCUUAACUGUCGAACUGCCAUUGAUACUGUUAGUCUUGAGUAAGGUUGAAGUGGCUGGAAUAAGUAGUGUAGCGGUGAAAUGCAUAGAUAUUACUUAGAACACCAAUUGCGAAGGCAGGUCACUAAGUCUUAACUGACGCUGAUGGACGAAAGCGUGGGGAGCGAACAGGAUUAGAAACCCCUGUAGUCCCAUG
rnacentral:rRNA from 1 species